GAAAGGCGAAAAGAACCCCGGCGAGGGGAGUGAAAAAGAACCUGAAACCGUGUACGUACAAGCAGUAGGAGCCCACUUGUUGGGUGACUGCGUACCUUUUGUAUAAUGGGUCAGCGACUUAUAUUCUGUAGCAAGGUUAACCGUAUAGGGGAGCCGCAGGGAAACCGAGUCUUAACUGGGCGUUAAGUUGCAGGGUAUAGACCCGAAACCCGGUGAUCUAGCCAUGGGCAGGUUGAAGGUUGGGUAACACUAACUGGAGGACCGAACCGACUAAUGUUGAAAAAUUAGCGGAUGACUUGUGGCUGGGGGUGAAAGGCCAAUCAAACCGGGAGAUAGCUGGUUCUCCCCGAAAGCUAUUUAGGUAGCGCCUCGUGAAUUCAUCUUCGGGGGUAGAGCACUGUUUCGGCUAGGGGGUCAUCCCGACUUACCAACCCGAUGCAAACUACGAAUACCG
rnacentral:rRNA from 1 species